rnacentral:rRNA from 1 species
UACGUAGGUGGCAAGCGUUGUCCGGAUUUAUUGGGUUUAAAGGGUGCGUAGGCGGCUCGGCACGUCCGUUGUGAAAUCGCCCGGCUCAACUGGGCGGGGUCAGCGGAUACGGCCGAGCUUGAGCAAGCUAGGGGGCAGUGGAAUUCCCGGUGUAGUGGUGGAAUGCGUAGAUAUCGGGAGGAACACCAGUGGCGAAGGCGGUUGCCUGGAGCUUUGCUGACGCUGAUGCGCGAAAGCGUGGGGAGCGAUCCGG